rnacentral:lncRNA from 1 species
ACCUGACACUAAAGCGCCAUGCCGGAAGCACUGAGUCUGAUACGUCGGAACCAGUCUCCACCGUGUGGUUUGGUCUUGAUUUCCACUGGUACUCUGGGGUCUUGGAUAAGUCUCUGGACCUCGCCUUUGUCAUUUGCGAAGUCGAUAGGUUCCAAUAGAGAUUUUCCCAGAAUCAUUCAACUAAAAAUAGAGAACUUUUUUUUUUUGAGAGGAAGGACGGGGGCGCAGUUAAAGAUGUUAAUGUUAAGUCAUCCCUUCUGUGAUUUCGGGACAUUAUCUUUGCACGCCAUGUGAAGAUGUGCUUGCUUCCUUGUCACCUUCCGCCAUGAUUGUAAGUUUCCUGAGGCCUCCCAGGAAGCAGAAGCCUGUACAGCCCACAGAACCAUGACCUGAUGAAAUCUCUUUUCUUUAUAAAUUACCCAGUCUCAGAUCUUGCUAUGCUUGUCAUUGUGUAAGCAGCAAACUUGCAGUGACCAGUUGGAUUCCACCCCCCUGAUGUUGGUGGUGUGCUCUUGGGGAGAUGUCUUCCAGACAGGCAAAGAAGAGUGACAUCAUCAGAGCAUGGACGACCUCAAAGAUAUUCCAGCUAUGCUCCAGAGAGAGCCAUCCUGAUGGAACCUACUGACCAGGGGGACACAAAAGAAAAGAGGGAGGAGAUGAAAGAAGGUGAGGGUCUCUAUUGCCAGCAGAACUGGACUGUGUGUUUAACUGGAAAGCUGAUGGAGAAUGUAGUUAGGCACAGCUCUCUGGACCCUUCUAGUGAAAUAAAGAACUAGUUAAAUAAGGCAAGACAGAAGAAUGAGGCUGCCAUCUAGAUGUAGUAACAGGUAAUGUUCCAGGGCACAAGGGAGCCAAAGGAAGAGAGUUUCUUCACUUUUUAUUCUCUGCAGUCUUCAUACAUAAUAAUGAUCUCAUUCCUCUAUAUUAGUCAAGAUCUUCCCAUUAUAAGUGACGAAUUAUAACCAGAUUAAACCAAAAAGUAAAAUAAUUUAUUGACUGAUUGAUAUGGUUUGGAUUUGUGUCCCCGCCCAAAUCUCAUGUAGAAUUGUAAUCCCCAGUGCCAGUUGGAGGUGGGUCCUGGUGGGAGGUGAUGGGAUCAUGUGGGUGGUUUCUCAUGGUGUAACGCAAUCCACCUUGGUGCUGUCGUCACGAUGGUGAGUCCUCAUGAGAUCUGGUUGUUUCAAGGUGUGUGGCACCUCACCUCUCUCUCUCUCUUCUCCUGCUCCCACCACGUGAGGCACCUCUCUCCCCCUUUGCCUUUUGCCAUGAUUGGAAACUUCCUGAGGCCUCCCCAGAAGCAGAAGCCCCUAUGCUUCCUGCACAGCCUGCAGAACCAGGAAACAAAAGGAGGGUGUUAGAGGAAAAAGAGGGAAACCCACUGACAGAGAGGAAGGCUGAAGAGAUCCCACCGCUGACUUGGACUAAGGAGAGAGAAGUCAAAGAGUGGUUACCUGGAUGAGGUGGCUGAAUAUGGGCCUGCUCUUGUCACUUUGGAUGUCACAACUAGCCUUGAGAAGAGCUGCUGUUCCAGGAGUCUGUCACAACUAGCCUUGAGAAGAGCUGCUGUUCCAGGAGUCUGUAGCCAAGGACGUACAGCAGUGGAGGCUGACUCAUCGCAUAGCUGAGUGACCAAUUGCUUGGCAUGAGUUUACUUUAAUGGCUGUUUCUGAGUUUGAUCCCUCUCCGGAACCAACCCCUCUGAUGUGUCCUGUUCCAGCAGGAAGAGACAGACCUGGAGGUUCUGUACUUGUGAUUUCUGGUUGUGGAUCCUGAGAACAAGAAGUACUGGGAUCCUAAAGUUCUGACAUUUGCAAAGCAGAUUAAUGACCUACCACAUUCCAGAUCAUUUGGUGAUUUUGUGUGUGCGUGUGGGUGUGUGUGUGUGUGUGCCAAAUUCAAGGUGGUCCCAGCCUUUCUAGUCUUCUCUAACCUUUCUUCUCAGAAGUCGCACCUGUUCUGUCUUUCUAGGAUAUAAUUUUUUUUCUAUUAGCCUGGGUAACACCCCAACCAAUAAAGUUUGCAAUAUCCAAGCC